GUGUCAGCCGCCGCGGUAAUACGUAGGUGGCAAGCGUUAUCCGGAAUUAUUGGGCGUAAAGCGCGCGCAGGUGGUUUCUUAAGUCUGAUGUGAAAGCCCACGGCUCAACCGUGGAGGGUCAUUGGAAACUGGGAGACUUGAGUGCAGAAGAGGAAAGUGGAAUUCCAUGUGUAGCGGAGGAAUGCGUGGCCAUAUGGAGAAAAACCAGUGGCGAAGGCGACUUUCUGG
rnacentral:rRNA from 1 species